rnacentral:rRNA from 1 species
CUGCGGAAGGAUCAUUACUGAGUUAGGGUCUCAUCUCGAGCCCGAACCUCCAACCCUUUGUAUAAAACACUUUGUUGCUUUGGCAGGCCCGUCUGAAAAUCCUUUAACCGGGAUCGACGACCGCCGGGGGCGUUUAGUCACCUCUGGCCAGUGCUUGCCGAUAGCCUAUUCAAAAUUCUUUAUUAAAUCAUGUCUGAAAAAUUAUAACUAAAUAUAAUUAAAACUUUUAACAACGGAUCUCUUGGUUCUGGCAUCGAUGAAGAACGCAGCGAAAUGCGAUAAGUAAUGUGAAUUGCAGAAUUCAGUGAAUCAUCGAAUCUUUGAACGCACAUUGCGCCCUUUGGUAUUCCGAAGGGCAUGCCUGUUCGAGCGUCAUUAUCAACCCUCAAGCUCGGCUUGUUAUUGGGCUCUUAUCGUUACAGAUAGGCCCGAAAGAUAAUGGCGGCGUCAUAAAUGACCCCAGAUGCAGCGAGCUUAUAGCAUACAUCGAAAGGUUUUUAUGGCCCGGCCUUAACGAGAAGCAAUUCUCAAUUUAUUUAAAGGUUGACCUCGGAUCAG